rnacentral:tRNA from 1 species
CCACAGCUAGCUCAGUUGGUGGAGCAUGAGACUCUUAAUUUCAGGUUUGUGGGUUUGAGCCCCACAUUGGGUG